GGGGACCCGCCAAGCGGUGGAUCGUGUUCUUUAAUUCGAUGAUAAACGAAGAACCUUACCAGGGUUUGACAUCCUUGGAAUUUUGUCGAAAGACGAGAGUGCUUUAUUGAGCCAAGUGACAGGUGUUGCAUGGCCGUCGUCAGCUCGUGUCGUGAGAUGUUUGGUUAAGUCCAUUAACGAGCGCAACCCUUGUGAAUAGUUGUAUUUUUCUAUUCAAACUGCCCCGGUAACGGGGAGGAAGGAGGGGAUGAUGUCAGGUCAGUAUUACCCUUACACCCUGGGCUAGAAACACGAUACAAUGGUUAGUACAAUGCGCAGCGAAGCCGCGAGGUGGAGCAAAUCGCAUCAAAGCUAAUCUCAGUUCGGAUAAGAGGCUGAAACUCGCCUCUUUGAAGUCGGAAUCGCUAGUAAUCGCAGAUCAGCAAGCUGCGGUGAAUACGUUCCCGGGUCUUGUACACACC
rnacentral:rRNA from 1 species